rnacentral:snRNA from 1 species
AGAUGGGAGGACAAUCUGGCUGCGACGUCCGUCACCCCACUGAGCGUCAGGGAUGAUUCAGCUGAUCUGGCUGGCUAGGCGGGAGUUCCCUUCCUCCCUCACCGCUGCAUGUGCAUCCCUCCUGAAGCUGCAUCCUUGGUUGAAGAGGACGACCACCCCCAAUAGAGGGGGCCAUUUCCUGGGUCAGGGGUAUAUGAGUAGCUGCGUUACCCUGCUAGAACCUCCAAGCAAGCUCUCAAGGUCUAACAUAAACAAGGUAGGACUCAGGGUGACUGAUUUAACACAAGACAUGAUGGACAUAUAUGUGUCAUAUCACACAUAUAUUUGCAUCAUAU